GCUCUAGGAACUGCACAAGGACUCUCUUAUUUGCACCAUGAUUGCAAGCCUAGGAUUAUUCGCCGCGACAUCAAGUCCAAUAACAUACUUAUUGAUCAUGAAUUUGAAGCUCAUGUUGGUGAUUUCGGUUUGGCCAAGCUAAUUGAUAUCUCAAAGUCUAAAUCAAUGUCUGCAGUUGUUGGUUCUUACGGCUACAUUGCACCUGGUGUUCAAUGAUCCCACGACAUUAACAGAGGAGGAGUUGUAUGAUUUGCGAGACCGCUGGGCAACUUGUUUUCUUCAACUAUAUAAUCCCGAGGUAGAUUAUGAUGAUGCCGACGAGAAAGAUUAGGAGCUAGCUAGGUUUGUGUGAAGUUACAAUGGACUAGUUAUGAUGAUGUUUUAAUUUGUAUUUUGGAUGGAUUAGUAUUAAUUAUUAUGAUGUUUUGUAUUUUGGAUUACAAUGUGGUUGUACUUUAAUGACAUUAUUACUAUAUAUAUGUUGAAUGUUGAAUUUGAAUUUGGCUA